UACGUAGGGGGCUAGCGUUGUCCGGAAUCAUUGGGCGUAAAGCGCGUGUAGGCGGUCCGGUAAGUCCGCUGUGAAAGUCGAGGGCUCAACCCUCGAAUGCCGGUGGAUACUGUCGGGCUUGAGUACGGGAGAGGCGAGUGGAAUUCCUGGUGUAGCGGUGAAAUGCGCAGAUAUCGGGAGGAACACCAGUAGCGAAGGCGGCACUCUGGGCCGGUACUGACGCUGAGGAGCGAAAGCGUGGGGAGCGAACAGG
rnacentral:rRNA from 1 species